GGGGUUGUGGCUCAAAGGUAGACCACUCGCCUACCAUGUGUGAGGCCCUGGGUUCCGUCCUCAGCACCCCCU
rnacentral:tRNA from 1 species